GACGAACGCUGGCGGCGUGCCUAAUACAUGCAAGUAGGACGCAGUUUCGAACGGGUGAGUAACGCGUAGGUAACUACCUAUUAGAGGGGGAGACCUAUUGGAAACUAUAGCUAAUACCGCCUACUAGUAGAUGGACGUGCGUUGGAUUAGGUAGUAUGUAGGGUAAUGGCCUACCUAGGCAGAGGUACAUAGCCUAACUGAGAGGGGGGUCGGCAACAAUGGGACCUAGUAACGGCCCAGAAUUCCACGGGAGGGAGCAGGAGGGGAUCUUCGGCAAUUGGGGGAACCCUGACCGAGCAACGACGCGUGAGGGAAGAAGGUUUUCGGAUCGUAAAGCUCUGUUGUUAAGGAAGCGGUACUUAACCAGAAAGGGACGGCUAACGACGUGCCAGCAGCCGCGGUAAUUC
rnacentral:rRNA from 1 species